GCCCCGGCCACCGGCGCUCUCGGAUGACGUACAACUGUCGCGAGAGGUCGGAAAGCGAGUGUGGUGCUAGGUGUGUUAAAUCUGCGUUUGCCUCUUGACCUGACGGUGUCUCUUCCAGUAAUGGCUCUACUUUUUCAGUCAUACAAAAGCUGAAAAAUUCAUCACUGAAAGACCUACAUAUAAGAAAUAUUAAAGUUCUUCAAGUAGAAAGAAAUUACACCACAUGGAAACCUAGACCUACAGAAAAGAAUGAAGAGUUCUGGAAAUGGUGACUAAGUAGAUAUUGAGUGGUGGUUUCAUCUACUGAUACAUGGAAGGCUACUAGCUCUGAGUGGAUCCAGAAAAAGAAAGGGCUCUGCAGCAGCUUCAGGCUGCCGUAUAACUGGCCCUUGCUACUUGGACCAUUUGACUCAACUUAUGGCCUGUUACUGGAGGUGUCUUUGGCAGAGAAAGAUGCCAUAUGGAACUUCUGAUAAUUCUCAACAGAAGAAUUGCAGCUUAGACACCUAGUGUUUUGGAGCAAGACCAUACCAGCCCACUAGAAACUGAGUGUCUGAGCAUAAGACAUUGAAUGACCAUCUAGCUUGAACUUCCCAUUAUGAAUUUGGUUCUGUCAAACUCACUAGGUUAAAAGAUCAGUUGUCCAUGUCCUGAUCAUGAAUUCUUCUGAAACUCCUCAAUAGAAUAUAAAAACCUUCUAAAUGCUGAUUUCCACAUGGCAAAACACAGCCAAGAUCCAUCUGACAUCAGCAAUGAUAUCCCUGGUUACACAUCCUCUUCAGAAUCCAGCUUGAACUUCUGGCAGUUCCCUGUUGAUGUACCGCUGCAGCUGGUUUUGAAUGAUCUUCAGCAAAAUUUUACUUGUGUGUGAUAUUAAUGAUAUUAUUCGACAAUUUCUGCAUUCCAGACUUAACCUUUACCUUAUAUCUGUAAUCACUUAGACCCUGAAGUUUCUGCUUCUUGAAACUGUCUGCACAUAGCUAAUUUUCCAAAAAAGCCUAAUGCCUAAGGCAAAAUGGUUUCUGCUAAACUGAUUACAAGACUAUUGUUUGACCUAAAAGUGACUCCAGGAAAACCAGUUCCUUAAAGGCUCAAAGCUCAAAAGGACACCUAAGGGCAAAUGGCCUGGCUGGGUCUCCCCAAUUCCAUGGACCCAGAAACUGGAUUCCAGGAGAAUUAAAAUGGUUUCUCAUCUGUCACCAAGCCACACAGAGCUGAGUCUUCGUGAGUUAGGACUCUGUCCUUAUGUCAGCCUACAUAGCCUUCCUCUGAAAUAGCUACCCCAAGCUAAGUCAGAUUCUCAUUGCCCCUUUGUGGGUUUGUUAAUUCUCUAAAAUAGCUCACAAAAUUCAUGGAGACUAUUACCUAUACUUACAGUUACUCAUUUAUUAUGACCAGAAAAGAUACAAGUGAAGAGACAUAUCAAGUGAUAUCUAGGAGAGUUCCUGGCACAAGGACUCCAUUGUCCCCAGGCAUAUGCCACCCUCUCCUGUGCGUGGAUGUUCUCACCAAUACAGGAAACCCCAAAAGAAAAAGCUCCAAGGUCCAGGGUCCCUUAGUCAUUGGGACCUCAAUGCAUACCCAUGACUCAAUGAAUAUGCAUAAUUGGCUGCAUUAUGCCCUCUCCCUUCUUGAGGUUAGUUGCCAGUGAUGAGUUGGGAGCUUUUAACUCAUUUGCACAUGUUGAAAUAUUGCCCAGAUGUUUUAGAAAAAUAAAGACACUUUGAUUGCUGGGGAAUUCCAAGGGCUAUUUUCCAGAAACUGGAGACAAAAUCUAAACCAAGUUCUUUGUCCCACACAGUCCCUCACUAAGUUUCCACAGGGUGCCAGGUACUUUGCCAGGGCACUGGGGAAUAGCCUUAUUCUACACCUUAACAAACUUCCAGUUUGGUGAGAGAGAAGAGAGAGAGGCAAUUACAGUGGCUUCUGAAAUAUAGAGAAGAUGGCAUUUUCAAGAUAUGUAAAUGUCUUAAUUUCCUCACUUAUGAAAUGUGGAUAAUAGUGAAGCCUCCGCCGAGACUUCCCCCACUCAGCCAUGGUCCCCACCCUGCACCCCCCACCACAGCAGCCUGACAAGCCAGGGCUUCUAACUGCGGUUUGGCCCGACCACGCUGCAGCCCUAACCACAGUUUGAAUUUCGUGCCAGAAUCCUGCGCAUGUGCAAACCAGAAUUUUGGUGCAUGCGAGGACCUGGAAAGCUGUGUCCUCAAUCUGUCCUUGGACCUGAACAUCGCCGACAUGACUCAACAUCCAGACCUCCAAAUGUGCACAUAGGAAGGCUAAGGGCAGAGAGUUCCGGGCACCAAACCCAACCCCCAGGCAUCAUUGGAAAUAAAAAGCCCCCAACCCCCUCAGACAGGGAGCAUGUGGUCUUUGGGCUGCUAGGCCCCAUGUUGCUCCUUGUUUGAACAAACAAUAAAUUUCCACUUUCUGUUUCCCUUGCUACUGGUAGUAUGGCGUCCAUCUUAUUUUGAUGGGCUAAUAGGAUAGGACAAGAACCCUCGUUUGGUUACAAUAGUACCUGUCUUAGUUAUCUAGUGCUGCACAAGUGCGUGGCUUUAACAAACGCAAAUUUGUUCUCACAGUUUAGAAAGCUGUUGUUUUUAGGUACCAGAAGGAGAAAAGAGGGAGAGUGAGGGAAACACAAUAUUGUUGUUAGUUUUUUAGGUACAGUCGAGCCAGUUCCGACUCAGUGAAUGUAAAACAGAAUGAAAUACUGCCUGGGCCUAUUCCAUCCUCACAAUUAUUGUUAUGCUUGAGCCCAUCGUUGCAGCUACUGUGUCAGUCCAUGUGGGUCUUCCUCUCUUUCGUUGACCCUCUGCUUUUACCAAGCAUGAUAUCCUCCUCCAGGGACUUGUCCUUCCUGAUAACAUGUCCAGAGUACAUGAGAUGAAGUUUGAAUUCAGAGAGCUGGUUCUAGGGGAAGACUUUCUCUCUGUCAGCUCUGGAGGAAGGUCCUUGUCUCUUCUAAGCUUCUGCUCCUGGGCAAUCUUCAUGUGUCUUGGCAUCUAUCUUCAGCCAUUUCUGCUUGCCUAAUCUGCUCCUUUUAUCUCUUAUAAGAGAUUGACUCAAGAUGUACCCUACACUAAUCCUGCCACAUUAACAGAAAAUUCAUUCCCAAAUGGGAUUAUAACCAUAGGCACAGAGGUUAGGACUUACAACACAUAUUUUUAGGGGACAUGAUUCAAUCCAUAACAGUAUCUAACUCACAGGGUGCUCUGAGGGUGCUGUCUGGUAUUUAGUGGAGAUUCAAUAAAAAUUUGUUUAAUUUAAAAUGUGUUAAAGUAGAAUAAAUAAGACUUGGCACCUAAGAAAAUGUGGGGAUGAAAGCGAAGAGAAGCAGAGGAUGACUCCUUGAUUUCUGCUUGAGUUGCUGGUGGUACCAGGAGGGGACAGAAGAAGAGAAGGAGGUGCAGUUUUGGGGGCAAGGUGAUGACACACUGAGUUAAAGUACCUGUGUGCGUGUGGGGUGGGGGGGAGUCGAGAUCCAGUAGGAACAGGAUAGAAGUUUCCAGAUUGCAGGUGAGACAUCUGGGCUAGAGACAGAGACUGGUGAGUCACUGGAAGUUGAUGACUUGGGCAUAGAUGAGACUUCUCAUAGAUGAAAAGAAAAGAGUAUAGAAGUCCACAUCAGCAUUUAAAGGAUGGGUGUAGGAACAUGAAGGAGCCCUGGUGGUGCAGUGGUUAAGCGCUUGGCUGCUAACCGCAAGGUGGAGGUUCGAACUCACCCGUUGCUCCACAGGAGAAAGAUGUGGCAGCCUGAUUCUGUAAAAAUUACAGCCUUGGAAACCCUAGGAGGUGGUUCUACUUUGUUCUAUAGGGUAGCUAUGAGUCGGAAUGGGUUUGGUUUGGUUUUUUGGUAGGAACAGGAGCACAGGACAGAGAAGGAGGUAUUAGAAGAAGGAAGAGGAGGAGCAGAGGGUGUUAGCACAGAAGCUAAGGGAGGAAAGGGUGUUAGGAGAGAGGCAAAAGUCCACAGUGUCAAGUGUUUCAGAGAAGUAGUUGAGAAAGGCUAUUGGGUUUGGCAUUUAUAUUUAUUGGUGGCUGUAUAAAAAAAAAAAAAAAAAUUUUUUUUUUUUUUUGUAUCAUCAACUGCAAACUGAAAAGAUGGAGGUUCGAGUUCACCCAGAGAUGCUUUGUAAGAAAUACUUGGCAAUCUACUUUCAAAAAAUCAGCCGUUGAAAACCAUAUGAAGCACAGUUCUACUCUGAAAAAUAUGGGGUCACCAUGAAUUGAAAUCGAUUCGACAGCAACUGUUUGCUUUUUAAAAAUUUUUAUCAGAAGUGGUGAGGCCACCUGCAGUGUGUGGAGGAGAGAACAGAAAAGGAGGAAGUGUAUCCAUUGAGUGCACUAUUCUUCCAAGAAUUUUGAUAGUGAAGGAAGAGAGAGGAUUUGAAUGAUAGCUUGAGGAAAGGUAGCCCAUUUUGGACUAGGGAAGAUCUAAACAAAUUUAUAGGCAGAAAAAGGAUCCAGGUUGAAGAUACAGAAGAGGGAAGAGUUGACUGAGGGCCAGAUUUGUCCAAACCCCCUUGGUGUUCCCUGUUCCCACUCUUGUGUGCAUGCUCAGCUUGGGCCAACCCAGGCUCCACCUGUGCUGACAAAUAGGACUUCUUUGCUCUUUGACAUGGGCAGGUGUGGGGGCAUCAGUACUGUGAUGGGUGUGCUUCAAUGUCCACGUCCCCGCUGUCCACGCUGACAUUAACUGCAUAUACCCUCAUUCCUACACCCAGACUCCAAUACACUGUCUGGCACAUAUACCAAUCAAAACCAAACCCAGUGCUGUCGAGUCAAUUCCAACUCAUAACGACCCUAUAGGACAGAGGAUAACCACCCCAUAGAAUUUCCAAGGAGUGCCUGGUGCAUUCGAACUGCCGACCCUUUGGUUAGCAGCCAGAGCACUUAACCACUACGCCACCAGGGUUCCCCUGGCACAUAUAAAAACCAAAAACCAAACCCAGUGCCAUCGAGUCGAUUCUGACUCAUAGCGACCCUAUAGGACAGAGUAGAACUGCUGCAUAGUUUCCAAGGAGCGCCUGGCAGAUUGAAAGGCCGACCCUUUGGUUAGCAGCCAUGGCACGUAACUGCUAUGCCAGCAGGGUUUCCCUGGCACAUAUCUGUAUGUGGAAUUUUUAUUGAAUAUUUUAUCCUAUAUUCUUCACAAGGUUGUGAGGAUCAAGUGAGAAACAUAUAAAUGCUCUAUAAAAAUAUAAUGAUGCAAGCAUUAAGUAUUACUACUGUUUAAAAAACAGGUUCACAGACACCCUCACAAGUACACGGGGGGGUCUCAUACAUCAACCAAGCUCACACAGAUUCACACACAAGCUAGGGCACGUGUGUUCACACAGGCCCACAGAUAACACUAAAACACACAUACUCCCUUAUAGGCUCACGCAGGUAUGUAAGAUCUCACACACACUCACAGAGUCCACCACAUUCACAUACAAACUUACACACAUACAAGCACACCCUCACAGAAAGCACACUCAUAUCCUCCCAUUUAGGCUGUGUGCAGGUAUGCGUUUGGAACUUGCACACUCUCAAAGGCCCACAUGCCCACACAAAAGUAAGCUGAGAGUCUUCCAGUCUGAGGAGGACUGAGUUGAUUCAACAUCCAUGUGCCAGGGAGGAUACCUCAGUUAGUGAAUAAUUUCACUGGCCUGCAGCUUUGCCCCAGAACCUUAAUUUCAGCAGAGAACCAAUCUGUCUGGGGCCAAGGCAGGGAGGCAGAAAGAGAGAGGAGCAGGGCUGAAAGAAGAGACCUCUUCCCCUCCUUCCUUGUCUGUCACUCUCCAGAUACCAAGGGGCCUCCACUCCCAGGCCCCUGAGCAGAGUCACAAUUCCUGAUCCUGGAGGGCUCUCAUCCCGCAGGCCAAUGCCACAGCCAUUAAAUACCUCUCCUAGGAUAUCUGCACAAACUCAGCUGCCCCAAGACCCUUCAUCUCUCCUCUUGGCUCUACCCAUCCCCAUCCCCAGCAGUGAGCAGCAUGCAGAUGGGUCCCCACUUGGGUGAUAGAAAAGCUGAGUUCAGGGAAAGGAAGAACUUUAUCCAAGGUGCACCAUGUGUUUGUUUUUCCUUCAUCAGGCCCUCAGCCUAGCACACAGGUCUCUCAUGAGCCCCCAGUCAGUUCCCCAAUGGCUGCUUCAAAACCCUCUUGUCAAUCCCACAUGUCCACCACCUUCUGGUUUCAAUCCCUACACAUAAUCUGAGCUUUUUCUUCACAGAGAUGUAAAUAGAGAGUAGGAGCCAUCAGAAGGAAAUCUUUUUAACUUCCAGGAUACCCCUCACCCAAUAGGAACCUACUGGUAUUAGCUCUCAUCCUUGUCUCCUCCCAGCUCAGAUGUGUCCAGGACUAAUUGCUCAUGGAUGCUCUGCAUCUCACCCCUCUGAUCUCUUCUGAUACCUUGCUCCUUCAGCUAUUUCCUCUAUCUCCUGGAUCUUUAGUCUCCUCCUUUCUACUAGAUUCUUCCCCUCAGGUAUAAGUAUGUUCGUAUCCCUUCCAUCUUAAAAAAUAAGUUCCAUAUUAUGCAGCCACAGUAGUCAAAACAGCCUGGUACUGGUACAACAACAGGCACAUAGACCAAUGGAACAGAAUUGAGAACCCAGAUAUAAACCCAUCCACAUAUGAGCAGCUGAUAUUUGACAAAGGCCCAAUGUCAGUUAAUUGGGGAAAAGAUAGUCCUAACAAACGGUGCUGGCAUAACUGGAUAUCCAUCUGCAAAAAAAUGAAACAGGGCCCAUACCUCACACCAUGCACAAAAACUAACUCCAAAUGGAUCAAAGACCUAAACAUAAGGACUAAAACGAUAAAGAUCAUGGAAGAAAAAAUAGGGACAAUGUUAGGAGCCCUAAUACAGGGCAUAAACAGCAUACAAAACAUAACUAAAAAUGACAAAGAGAAACCAGAUAACUGGGAGCUCCUAAAAAUGAAACACUUAUGCUCAUCUAAAGACUUCACCAAAACAGUAAAAAGACCACCUACAGACUGGGAAAGAAUUUUCAGCUAUGACAUCUCUGACCAGUGUCUGAUCUAUAAAAUCUAUAAAAUCUAUUCUGUUAAAACUCAACCACGAAAAGACAAACAACCCAAUUAAAAACUGGGCAAAGGAUAUGAACACGUACUUCACUAAAGAAGAUAUUCAGGCACCUAACAGAUACCUGAGCAAAUGCUCUCGAUCAUCAGCCAUUACAGAAAUGCAAAUUAAAACUAUGAUGAGAUUCUAUCUCACUCCAGCAAGGCUGGCAUUAAUCCAAAAAACACAAAAUAAUAAAUGUUGGAGAGGCUGUGGAGAGACUGGAACACUUAUACACUGCUGGUGGGAAUGUGAAAUGGUACAAUCACUUUGGAAAUCGAUCUGGCUUUUCCUUAAAAAGCUAGAAAUAGAACUACCAUACGACCCAGAAAUCCCACUCCUUGGAAUAUAUCCUAGAGAAAUAAGAGCCUUUACGCGAACAGAUAUAUGCACACCCGUGUUUAUUGCAGCACUGUUUACAAUAGCCAAAAGAUGGAAGCAACCAAGGUGUCCAUCAACGGACGAAUGGAUAAAUAAAUUAUGGUAUAUUCACACAAUGGAAUACUACGCAUCGAUAAAGAACAAUGAUGCAUCUGUGAAACAUUUCAUAACAUGGAGGAACCUGGAAGGCAUUAUGCUGAGUGAAAUUAGUCAGAGGCAAAAGGACAAAUAUUGUAAAAGACCACUAUUAUAAGAUCUUGAGAAAUAGUUUAAACUGAGAACACAUUGUUUUGUGGUUAUGAGAAGGGGGAGGGAGGGAGAGUGGGAGAGGGCUAUUUGCUGAUUAGAUAGUAGAUAAGAACUACUUUAGGUGAAGGGAAGGACAACACUCAAUACAGGGGAGGUCAGCACAACUGGACUGGACCAAAAGCAAAGAAAUUUCCUGAAUAAACUGAAUGCUUCGAAGGUCAGUGGAGCAAGGGUGGGGGUUUGGGGACUAUGGCUUCAGGGGACAUCUAAGUCAAGUGGCAAAAUAAAUUCUAUUAAGAAAACAUUCUGCAUCCCACUUUGAAGUGUGGCAUCUGGGGUCUUAAACACUAGCGAGUAGCCAUCUAAGAUGCAUCGAUGAGUCUCAAGCCACCUGGAUCAAAGGAGAAUGAAGAACACCAAGGUCACAAGGUAAUUAUGAGCCCAAGAGACAGAAAGGGCUACAUGAACUGGAGACUACAUCAUCCUGAGACCAGAAGAACUAGAUGGUGCCCGGCCACAACCGAUGACUGCCCUGACAGGGAGCACAAGAGAGAACCCCUGAGGGAGCAGGACAACAGUGGGAUGCAGACCCCAAAUUCUCAUAAAAAGACCAGACUUAAUGGUCUGACUAAGACUAGAAGAAUCCCGGCGGUCAUGGUCCCCAAACCUUCUGUUGGCCCAGGACAGGAACCAUUCCCGAAGCCAACUCAGCAGACAUGGAUUGGACUGGACAAUGGAUUGGAGAGAGAUGCUGAUGAGGAGUGAGCUACUUGCAUCAGGUGGACACUUGAGACUAUGUUGGGCUCUCCUGUCUGGAGGGGAGAUGAGAGGGUAGAGGGGGUUAGGAACUGGCAAAACGGUCACGAAAGGAGAGACUGGAAGGAGGGAGCGGGCUGACUCAUUAGGGAGAGAGUAAGUGGGAGUAUGUAGUAAGGUGUAUAUAAGUUUAUAUGUGAGAGACUGACUUGAUUUGUAAACUUUCACUUAAAGCAAAAUAAAAAUUAUUUAAAAACAAAAUAAGUUCUACAUUCCUUUCUAUCUGCCACUCUGUCACUCUCCUUCCAUUCAUUGCCAAUUUUCUUAAAAGAGUUGCCUUCAGCAUAUGUGAGAAAAUGCACAUGCUAUCUGUAGGCUUAUGUAUAUACAUGUUUGUGUGUACUGUAUAUAUAUCCACGUAUAUAACAAACCACAUCGGCACAGUUACAGAGGUUUCCUAGACCUAUCCAAACAACUUGCAGGAUUGGUUUACUGGGUCAAAAGACUUGGAACCAUAGUCUCAGGGAUCAACUUAAUCAAUUGGCAUAAUAGAGUUCACAAAGAUAAUGCUGUACAUCGUAGUUUGGUGAGUAGAGCCUGGGGUCUUAAAAGCUUGUGAGCAGCUAUGUAAGAUACAACUAUUGGUCUCUACUCAUAUGGAGCAAAAAAUAAUGAAGAAAAAGGCUCAAAGAAGAAACGAGUCCAUAGGUCUAAUAGCCCACACGAACCACAACCUCUUCUAACCUGAGACCAGAAGAACUAGAUGGUACCUGGCUACCGCUACUGACCAUCCUGACCAGGGACACAAUAGAAGGUCCCAGAUAGAAUGGGAGAAACAUGUCAAACUAAAUUCAAAUUCCUAAAAAAGGCCAGACCUACUGGACUGAUAAAAACUAGAGGAACCCCCAAGAGUAUUGCCCUAAGACACACUUUGAGCUUGGAAUUUCAAUUCAGCUAUUUCUGCAGGUCACCUUUCAGCCAAAUAAUUGGCUUAUAAAAUAAACAAUAUCACCAGGGAGUUAUGUGCUCCCUUAAACAAUUUAACUAUAUCAAAAGGAUUGGAAAUAAUGAGAAUGCUGACACAGUGUAAAAAUUAUAACCAAUGGCAUGAAACAAUUUGUAUAAAAAUUGUUAAAGGGGAACCUAAUUUGCUAUGUAAACUUUCACCUAAAACACAAUAAAACAUUAUUUAAGAAAAGAGUUACCUUCACUCACUCUCUCCCUUCUCUUACCAUCCCCUCAUCUCCCAAAUCACUACAAUCAUCCUUUGCCACCUCACCCAUCCCCCCUACAAACACACACAACUUUACACCAAAGGGGCCAGCCAUCAUCUUUAGGCUUUUUGACAAAGCCCGAUUUUCAGUUCUCAGUCUCUGUAUUUAGGACCUCUCAGUAGCACUGAAUAUUGUCAACUGUUCCUUCCUUUUUGGAACGCUCUGCCCCUGGCUAUUUUCUCUCUUGGUUUCCCCCCUACCUCUCCAGUCACCCAUUUGCCCUCUUAGAGUUCUCAUGUCCAAUCAAUAUUAAUUCCGUGGCUUUUACCUCCUAAAGAUUUCUAAAAGAAAAGAAAAGAAGUCUACUUCCCAGCUGAGACUCUGAGCUUUAACCCAAAUUAAAGCAACACCUCCUUAACUGGGCUCCCUGCAUCCAUGCUUGCCUUUUCUGACUAUCUAAACCUUGUCCAAAGGGUCCUUUUAAAAUAAAAAUCUGACUGUAUCCUUUUGCUGCAUGAAUCCUUCAUUGGCUUUUCAUUGCCUAUAGGAUAAAGUGCAACUCUGAACGGGGCUUAUAAGGCUCUCUGGGCUCAAAUUCCACCUUCCUCUCUAGCCUCAUCCCUCACACCUACCUCCUUGCCUCCUAUAAGCCUUUUCAGCUCUGCUAAACCCUUUUCAAUCUCUCAAAUACAUCUUGCUCUCUCUUGCCUUUGGACAUUUAAACAUGGUAUUAUCUCUGCCUGUUAAUACCUUGGAGCUCUGGUGAUGUAGUUGUUAAGAGAUCAGCUGCUAACCGAAAGGCUGGCAAUUCAAAUCCACCAGCAGCUCCUUGGAA